AUUGAACGCUGGCGGCAGGCCUAACACAUGCAAGUCGAGCGGAUGAAGGGAGCUUGCUCCUGGAUUCAGCGGCGGACGGGUGAGUAAUGCCUAGGAAUCUGCCUGGUAGUGGGGGAUAACGUCCGGAAACGGGCGCUAAUACCGCAUACGUCCUGAGGGAGAAAGUGGGGGAUCUUCGGACCUCACGCUAUCAGAUGAGCCUAGGUCGGAUUAGCUAGUUGGUGGGGUAAAGGCCUACCAAGGCGACGAUCCGUAACUGGUCUGAGAGGAUGAUCAGUCACACUGGAACUGAGACACGGUCCAGACUCCUACGGGAGGCCGCAGUGGGGAAUAUUGGACGAUGGGCGAAAGCCUGAUCCAGCCCUGCCGCGUGUGUGAAGAAGGUCUUCGGAUUGUAAAGCACUUUAAGUUGGGAGGAAGGGCAGUAAGUUAAUACCUUGCUGUUUUGACGGUACCAACAGAAUGAGCACCGGCUAACUUCGUG
rnacentral:rRNA from 1 species